GUUGGUGUUCACCCGGCCCUCCUUGUUUCUUCCCCACGCUCCUGUUUCCAGGGUUUACCCAGUUCCUGACUUGGGGUGGGUGGGGCGGGAGCUGGGCCGGAGCUGGGUGUUCAUUAAUCAUUAAUCUUGGACAGGGUGCCAGAGGGAGGAGAGGCGGGGAUGUUCCCUCUUCCCACCAGCCCUCCCCAGAAGAGGGGCGGUCAGAGCAGGGGCUGGGCGUCAGGAUAAAGGCUGGAUCCCCCCUGCCUGUGGAAGGCCUUGUCCUCUGCCACUUGGCGGGCAAGGCCACCCAGGAAAGACUUGAGGGAGCGGGGCAAUCUCUGGGGUCCGAGAAGGGUCCCCUAGCUAAGCCGGCAACUCCCGUGUUUCCUGGACCAGUGCUCAGAAAGGGGUCCAGCUUGGUCUGCCCGCCUUGGUACCAAGCCAGUGCUUUGGCAGCAGCACAGAGAAAGGCUGUGGUCCCUUCCCAGCGGGGACCCCCUCCCACCUGCACAGGGCAGGAGAGGUGGUGGGCACACAGCUGGCUGCAGUAACCCGGAGCAGCGGGAGGGAAGGCGGGAGGGCGGCAGGCCCGACACCUGAUCACCUGGGUUGCCCAGGUGACAGGCACCAUGGAAAUCCCCAGGAAGACGGUCCAGAUGGGCGGAUCCAACCUCUCCCUUCACGAAGAGGGUGACUGACCUAAGGCCCAGAGAGGGCAAGACCGUGGGCAGGCCUGCGCCGAAGCAGUCGCUGCGCGGCUGCACCGUACCCUACCCCUUGGAGGAGCCAUAAUUACUAACCCUGUGAUCCCAGCGGGGACACUGAACUGCAGAGAGAUUUGGGGACUUUCCCAGGGUCACACAGUUCAGAUGUGGCUAAACGGACUCCAAAUCCAGAGCCGUGCCCGAGCCCCCGUUUCAGGACCCCAGACUUGCUCAAGAUCUCUCUCUUCUCUGCUCCUUUUGUGGGGUCCUAGCCUCUUCGAGUUGCCAUGGCUGCCCUCAGCCCCCAGCUCAGGACCCUGCCCCGCGUGUCCCCCUAGCUCCCAGCUCUGCCUGACACUCGAGGGGUGGGCAGGCUGCUGCCCUGGGAGCAGAAACAACAGAGCCCUGUUCCCAGCUGCCCCCUCGGGCCGCUUCCUCCCUGCUUCUCACUCAGGCAGAGCCCUGCCUGAAGGAAGCGCCCUGCGGACAAAGAAGCAUGCCGGCCUCUGGUGCAUCGCUGGUCUGAUGGGCGGGGGUCCAAUCCAGCAAAGGGAUGUGUGUCCCUCCCUCUGGGCUCUAAGGGACUUGAUCGUGUCAACCCGGUGAAAGUGGCAGUGAUUAACCUGGGAGAAGGAUACACAGAUGUUGGGAUUCCAGGCACGGCAGCAGGCUUGUGAAGGGUUUUUUGUGCCCCUCGGACUGAGCAAGGAAUAUGGACCAUCCCCAUUUAGGAGCCAUACCCCACUCCAGACAGGGGAGGGCACGAGGGAGCAGAGUGCCCACAGGGGUCAGCGGGCUGGGGUCGGGGAAUCGCCUGGUGAGGAGUGAUGGUUCAGAGGAAAUGGGGGUCCAGAAGAAACCUCUCUCCUUCCCGCUAGCCCCAGGGCAGCGAUGAGGUGUGGCUUGGGCACCCCCAGUAAUAUUGAUCCCAGUAAUGCCCAGACUUGCCAUGGGACUCCAGGCAAGUCAUUCCCUUUCUGUGCCUUGGUUUUCUUAGAUGUGAAAUCUGGGACAUGGGGACCUUGGCUCUGGAGCAUGGGAGGUAUGUGGGUGCUGGAGUGGGGAGGUGGUCUCAGGAGACUGCACUGGUGGGUGCUGCCUCUCCUGCCUGGUGGGUCUAGAAGGGUCAGGAUAAUCAUCCGAGGUGUGUGCAAAGGGCUCUGCAUGCCCCAUCCCGUUUGAUCCUCACGGAAGGUCGUGGUAUCCCCAUUUGGUAGAAAACCUAGGUUCAGAGAGGGGAGGUCACCUGCCCAAGGUGGCCCAGCUGGGGAGUGCUGGAGCCAGAUUUCUAGCCAGACCUCUCCAGGAUGAGCAAGGCGGGCGGGCAGAUCCAGGGCAUUGUACCUAGCAACUGCUCAGCUCCUUUUGAAAAACCUUUAUAUUUUACAUAUUAUUAUGCAAAUAAGUGCAUGACAUACCUUUUUAAAGAAACGUUUCAGUCACGCUAGAAGGUGCAGAGGAUGGUACUGCCAAUGCCCACACACUCACCUCCGGGGUUCUCAGGAGUUCUGAAGCUGAUACAGAAGCGACUGACCGCUGGGUUAACCCAUGUUGUUAACCUAACUCUUCAGUUAGGGCUGUUUUGGGGCGACUCAAAUCUUUCAUCAGGAGGGCUGGCGAUCUUGUCUGUCAACGUCAGAAGACCUGUGGGCGGAGCCCACCAUUGCAAAGCUAGCAGGUGACACCAAAGGUUAUCUGUUGCGGUUGCAGGCGUGUUUGCCAUUAGGCGUCAUGGAAACAGGUGACUGACUGCAAGAUCAGAAAAUCUUCUGAGUCAUCAAAGUACACUGACCUCUUCUUAGUCAGCUGCCAGACCCCCGACCUAGCUGCAGCCAUCCCCCCAGCCAGGUGGGGGCGGUAGGAGCAAGCCGUCAGGGCUCCUUGACACUUUUGGAGGUGGUUCUGCAAGCUGAAAUGUCUCUCCGCGAUCCUCCCCUUCUCUGCUCCAGCACCCCACUGCAGAGGGUCUCAGAGAGGAAGCUUCUAGAUUCUCGCAAGUCAGUCCCCCAGCGCUCCUGGAUGGAGAGCCAACCUUUCCAUCUGCCCUUUCAACUGUGUGGCUCACACUUUUCAGCUUCUUCUCUGUCCCAGACCCUUGCUGCUUCUCCCCUGCUUUUGGACACUGAGGUUCACAGAGGGUGGCUUGCCUACACAGGUCACACAGCGACGUGGGGCAUGGUUCAGACUAGCCACGGUUCCCUCCUCCUCCAGCCAGAUGGCAGUUUUUCAAAAUGGAAAUAUCGUUAUUUUUCAUGUUUUUCCAGAGUAAUACAGGCUCUUUGUAAAAAACAAAAUUAUCUGUGUGUGAAUAUUAUGUGUGUGAAAGUGAAGUGAAGUCGCUCAGUCGUGUCCGACUCUUUGCGACCCCAUGGACCAGGCUCCUCCCUCCAUGGGGUUCUUCAGGCAAGAGUACUGGAGUGGGGCGCCAUCGCCAUAUGUUACAGACGUCAUUUUCAUGAAUACAUAUGGGAUCAUUGGAUGCAUGCCACAUAGUAUAUUCUGUAAAACAAUCCUUCACUUAGGUGGUGGCGAGCCUUAGCUGUGGCCGCAGGGCGUGGGCUCCUCUCGACUCGUGGCACACAGGGUGUAGAGCACGGGGGCUCAGAGCCUGUGCACUCAGUUUCCCUGCUCCUGGGCUUCGUUCCCCGGCCAGGGAUCAAACCUGCAUCCCCCGUAUUGUAAGGCAGAUUCUCAACCGCUGGAAGUCCCCAUCACAUGGUAUUUCCAACCAUCCCCUCCUGUUGGACACUGAGGUUGUCUCUGUUUUGCUCCUUCGCUAAACACCACUGCAGUGGCCGUCUUUGUGCUCCAUCUCAGAUCUCGUUUGUCCUCUUUGAACAAAUUCCCAUAGGUAGAAGUGCUGGGUCGGAGGCUGGGCACAUUUAGAACUAUGGUAUUUGCUGCCAAACACACACCCUGAGUGGGGCUUCCCUGGUGGCGCUACUGGUAAAG
ensembl:lncRNA